rnacentral:rRNA from 1 species
UACGUAGGGUGCGAGCGUUGUCCGGAAUUAUUGGGCGUAAAGAGCUCGUAGGCGGUGUGUCACGUCGGCCGUGAAAACCUGGGGCUUAACUCUGGGCGUGCGGUCGAUACGGGCAUCACUAGAGUUCGGCAGGGGAGACUGGAAUUCCUGGUGUAGCGGUGAAAUGCGCAGAUAUCAGGAGGAACACCGGUGGCGAAGGCGGGUCUCUGGGCAGUAACUGACGCUGAGGAGCGAAAGCAUGGGGAGCGAACAGG